rnacentral:rRNA from 1 species
AGGACGAACGCUGGCGGCGUGCUUAACACAUGCAAGUCGAGCGGAAAGGCCCUUCGGGGUACUCGAGCGGCGAACGGGUGAGUAACACGUGGGCAACCUGCCCUUAGCUCUGGGAUAGCUCCGGGAAACCGGAAUUAAUACCGGAUAUUACACCGGCUGGCAUCGGCUGGUGUGGAAAGAUUUAUCGGCUAAGGAUGGACUCGCGGCCUAUCAGCUUGUUGGUGGGUAGAAGCCUACCAAGGCGACGACGGGUA